GAUGAAGAACGUAGCGAAAUGCGAUAAGUAAUGUGAAUUGCAGAAUUCAGUGAACCAUCGAAUCUUUGAACGCUCAUUGCGCCCGCCAGUAUUCUGGCGGGCAUGCCUGUUCGAGCGUCAUUUCAACCCUCAAGCCCCCGGGCUUGGUGUUGGGGAUCGGCACAAGGCGCUGGCACCCUCGGGAGCCCGCGCCCGCCGUCCCCCAAAUCCAGUGGCGGUCACGCCGUGUGUACCUCAGCGUAGUAGCAACACCUCGUUCCGGAACCCUUCUGUGAACCACGCCGUAAAACCCCCGACUUUUUUCUGGUUGACCUCGAAUCAGGUAGGACUACCCGCUGAACUUAAGCAUAUCAAUAAGCGGAGGA
rnacentral:misc_RNA from 1 species